UACGUAGGGUGCGAGCGUUUGUCCGGAAUUACUGGGCGUAAAGAGCUCGUAGGUGGUUUGUCGCGUUGUUCGUGAAAACUCACAGCUUAACUGUGGGCGUGCGGGCGAUACGGGCAGACUGGAGUACUGCAGGGGAGACUGGAAUUCCUGGUGUAGCGGUGGAAUGCGCAGAUAUCAGGAGGAACACCGAUGGCGAAGGCAGGUCUCUGGGCCGAUACUGACGCUGAGGAGCGAAAGCGUGGGGAGCGAACAGG
rnacentral:rRNA from 1 species